rnacentral:rRNA from 1 species
UACGAAGGGGGCUAGCGUUGCUCGGAAUCACUGGGCGUAAAGGGUGCGUAGGCGGGUCUUUAAGUCAGGGGUGAAAUCCUGGAGCUCAACUCCAGAACUGCCUUUGAUACUGAAGAUCUUGAGUUCGGGAGAGGUGAGUGGAACUGCGAGUGUAGAGGUGAAAUUCGUAGAUAUUCGCAAGAACACCAGUGGCGAAGGCGGCUCACUGGCCCGAUACUGACGCUGAGGCACGAAAGCGUGGGGGA